rnacentral:rRNA from 1 species
UCCUGGCUCAGAUUGAACGCUGGCGGCAUGCCUUACACAUGCAAGUCGAACGGCAGCGACGGGAGCAAUCCUGGUGGCGAGUGGACGAAACGGGUGAGUAAUAUAUCGGAACGUGCCCAGUCGGUGGGGGAUAACGUAGACGAAAGCUACGCUAAUACCGCAUACGAUCUAUGGAUAGAAAGGCGGGGGAUCGCAAGACCUCGCGCGAUUGGAGCGGCCGAUAUCAGAUUAGGUAGUUGGGUAGGGGUAAAAGCCUACCAAGCCUUCGAUCUGUAGCUGGUCUGAGAGGACGACCAGCCACACUGGAACUGAGACACGGUCCAGACUCCUACGGGAGGCAGCAGUGGGGAAUUUUUGGACAAUGGGCGCAAGCCUGAUCCAGCAAUGCCGCGUGCAGGAUGAAGGCCUUCGGGUUGUAAACUGCUUUUGUACGGAACGAAACGGCUCUUUCUAAUAAAGGGAGCUAAUGACGGUACCGUAAGAAUAAGCACCGGCUAACUACGUG